GGACGGAGCUCUCAAACUGGACUUGGGUCUGUUUUCCACAAAGACGUUGGUCGAGGCCAAUCCAGAGCACCUGGUGGAGGUCUGGACUCAGCUCUCCCAGCCCGCCGAUGAGAACUGGGAUCCGACCGGCACCAAGAAAAUGUGGCGCUGUGAGAGCGCCCGCUCCCAAACCACCAUCGCCAAAUACGCCCAGUAUCAGGCCGCCUCCUUCCAAGAGUCCCUGCGGGAAGAGAAUGAAAAGAAGGCACUAAAGGAGCCCUCAGACACAGAGCCAGCGUCAGCAGAGAG